rnacentral:ncRNA from 1 species
CAACCUCAACUCAUAUGGGACUACGCCCUGAAUUUAAGCAUAUUAAUUAGGGGAGGAAAAGAAACUAACAAGGAUUUUCUUAGUAGCGGCGAGCGAAAAGAAAAUAGUUCAGCACUAAGUCACUUUGUCUUUAUGGCAAAUGUGAGAUGCAGUGUAUGGAGCAUCAAUAUUCUAGUAUGAGAAAUUAAUGAUUUAAGUCCUUCUUAAAUGAGGCCAUUUACCCAUAGAGGGUGCCAGGCCCGUAUAACGUUAAUGAUUACUAGAUGGUGUUUCCAAAGAGUCGUGUUGCUUGAUAGUGCAGCACUAAGUGGGUGGUAAACUCCAUCUAAAACUAAAUAUAACCAUGAGACCGAUAGUAAACAAGUACCGUGAGGGAAAGUUGAAAAGAACUCUGAAUAGAGAGUUAAAUAGUACGUGAAACUGCUUAGAGGUUAAGCCCGAUGAACCUGAAUAUCCAUUAUGGAAAAUUCAUCAUUAGAGUUUUAAUAUUUUAAUAAUAUUAUAAUAAUAGUGUGCAUUUUUUCCAUAUAAGGACAUUGUAAUCUAUUAACAUAAACCAAAUUUAUCAUAAAAUAUGACUUAUAGUUUAUUUAAAUUAUUUUGCUUGCAUU